GAUGAACGCUGGCGGCGUGCCUAAUACAUGCAAGUCGAGCGAAUGGAUUAAGAGCUUGCUCUUAUGAAGUUAGCGGCGGACGGGUGAGUAACACGUGGGUAACCUGCCCAUAAGACUGGGAUAACUCCGGGAAACCGGGGCUAAUACCGGAUAACAUUUUGAACCGCAUGGUUCGAAAUUGAAAGGCGGCUUCGGCUGUCACUUAUGGAUGGACCCGCGUCGCAUUAGCUAGUUGGUGAGGUAACGGCUCACCAAGGCAACGAUGCGUAGCCGACCUGAGAGGGUGAUCGGCCACACUGGGACUGAGACACGGUCCAGACUCCUACGGGAGGCAGCAGUAGGGAAUCUUCCGCAAUGGACGAAAGUCUGACGGAGCAACGCCGCGUGAGUGAUGAAGGCUUUCGGGUCGUAAAACUCUGUUGUUAGGGAAGAACAAGUGCUAGUUGAAUAAGCUGGCACCUUGACGGUACCUAACCAGAAAGCCACGGCUAACUACGUGCCAGCCGCCGCCCGUAA
rnacentral:rRNA from 1 species